rnacentral:rRNA from 1 species
UGCAGUCGAACGGGCACUUCGGUGCUAGUGGCAGACGGGUGAGUAACACGUGGGAACGUACCUUUCGGUUCGGAAUAAUCCAGGGAAACUUGGACUAAUACCGGAUACGCCCUUCGGGGGAAAGAUUUAUCGCCGAUAGAUCGGCCCGCGUCUGAUUAGCUAGUUGGUGAGGUAAUGGCUCACCAAGGCGACGAUCAGUAGCUGGUCUGAGAGGAUGAUCAGCCACAUUGGGACUGAGACACGGCCCAAACUCCUACGGGAGGCAGCAGUGGGGAAUAUUGGACAAUGGGCGCAAGCCUGAUCCAGCCAUGCCGCGUGAGUGAUGAAGGCCUUAGGGUUGUAAAGCUCUUUUGUCCGGGAAGAUAAUGACUGUACCGGAAGAAUAAGCCCCGGCUAACUUCGUGCCAGCAGCGGCGGUAAU